UACGUAGGGGGCAAGCGUUGUCCGGAAUUAUUGGGCGUAAAGCGCGCGCAGGCGGUUUGGAAAGUCUGGUGUUUAAGGCUGAGGCUCAACCUCAGUUCGCACUGGAAACUGUCAGACUUGAGUGCAGAAGAGGAAAGUGGAAUUCCACGUGUAGCGGUGAAAUGCGUAGAGAUGUGGAGGAACACCAGUGGCGAAGGCGACUUUCUGGGCUGUAACUGACGCUGAGGCGCGAAAGCGUGGGGAGCAAACAGG
rnacentral:rRNA from 2 species